UGUAGCCUACCUGAAGAGGACGCACGGACUCACAUAAAUGUGAAAGCACCACUCUUCCACAGCGGGCUGCCAAUAAUUCCUUCACUUAGUAACUUGAGGUAUCCAGCCAAACAAGGCAUUUGGUUUUUGUGAGAGAAAUGUUCAGCUGCAGCAUCUGUUGUUGUGAUAUUCCCUUGUGCAAGCUAGCCGAUAAAAGGUGCCUGAGCUCACCAAGCAGAGCAAAACUGCACCAAGGCAUCUCUUAUACAAAUGAUUACAUGCACAUGUUCCUCUCCAUAAUCCUCUUAAGAGAUCAUUAAUGCUCCAGAAUGUCUGUCCCGAAUGACUCAAAAACACCAUCUCGGUAUUGUAUAAUUUAUGCUUCAA